UAAACUUAGAUGUUUACAAUACAAAAACAUCCGCCAGAAAACUACGAGCAAAACGCUUAAAACUCCAAGGACUUGGCGGUACCUCAAACCCCCCUAGAGGAGCCUGUUCUAUAAUCGAUAAUCCACGCUAAACCUUACCAUCCUUUGCCAACCCAGCCUAUAUACCACCGUCACAGCCUACCUUAUGAAAGACAAAAAGUAAGCUCAACAACUCCUAACAGUUAAAAAGUCAGGUCAAGGUGUAGCUAACUAAGAUGGAAGAAAUGGGCUACAUUUUCUAUUAUAGAAAUAACCACAGAACAGAAACAUGAAACAUGAUCUGAAUAAAGAAGGAUUUAGUAGUAAAUUAAGAACAGAGAGCUUAAUUUAAAACGGACCUGAGGUACGC
rnacentral:rRNA from 1 species